rnacentral:tRNA from 1 species
AAGGCUUUAGCUUAAUUCAAGUGUCUGUUUUGCAUACAGAAGAUGUGGGUUAGUAUCCUGCAAGUCUUA